rnacentral:rRNA from 1 species
CUACGGGAGGCACCAGUGGGGAAUAUUGGACAAUGGGGGAAAUCCUGAUCCAGCAAUGCCGCGUGUGUGAAGAAGGCCUGCGGGUUGUAAAGCACUUUCGGUUGGGAGGACUGCUUCUAGCACUAAUAUUGUUGGAAGUUGACGUUACCUUCAGAAGAAGCACCGGCUAACUCCGUGCCAGCAGCCGCGGUAAUACGGAGGGUGCAGGCGUUAAUCGGAAUUACUGGGCGUAAAGCGCGCGUAGGCGGCUAGAUCAGUCGGGUGUGAAAGCCCCGGGCUUAACCUGGGAACUGCAUCCGAUACUGUCUAGCUUGAGUACAGGAGAGGAGAGUGGAAUUCCACAUGUAGCGGUGAAAUGCGUAGAUAUGUGGAGGAACACCAAUGGCGAAGGCAGCUCUCUGGCCUGAUACUGACGCUGAGGUGCGAAAGCGUGGGGAGCAAACAGGAUUAGAUACCCCUGUAGUC